AUGUCUUUGCUGUGGUCUCCUGGUGAUGGUGCACUUAAGGAGGUCUCUGCUGUGUGCCUCCUAGUGAGUGUGGUACUUCAGGGGGUAUCUGUUGUGGACCUCCUUGUGGUGGUGGUCCUUUUGGAGGUUUCUGCUGUGGGCCUCCUUGUGGGGGGAAAACCUCGACAGGACAACUUAUCUUCAGGCUCCUUUGAUCUUCAGAAUCAAAACCAGAUCCCGAAUCAGAGGCCACCUCCUUCAGGGUUCCAACCAAGACCGCCUGCUAACGGGAGCCAGCAAGGCCCACCCCCACCAGGAGGCCCACAGCUGAGACCCCCUCAAGGCCCACCACCACCAGGAGGCGCACAGCAGAGACCCCCUCAAGGCCCACCACCACCAGGAGGCCCACAGCAGAGACCCCCUCAAGGCCCACCACCUCUAGGAGGCCCACAGCAGAGACCACCUCAAGGCCCACCACCACCAGGAGGCCCACAGCAGAGACCCCCUCAAGGCCCACCACCACCAGCAGGCCCACAGCCGAGACCCACUCAAGGCCCACCCCCAACAGGAGGCCCACAGCAGAGAUGUACUCAAGGCCCACCCCCAACAGGAGGCCCACAGCAGAGACCCUCUCAAGGUCCACCACCACCAGGAGGCCCACAGCAGAGACCCCCUCAAGGCCCACCACCACCAGGAGGCCCACAGCUGAGACCCCCUCAAGGCCCACCACCACCAGGAGGCCCACAACCGAGACCCACUCAAGGCCCACCCCCAACAGGAGGCCCACAGCAAACACCUCCUCUGGCUGGAAACCCACAAGGCCCACCACAAGGCAGACCCCAGGAACCUCGGUAAACCAAAAUUCUGCGACAGAAUUGAGUAGGACGAUGGCUCCCUCAGAAAGUUCUCCCAUGGCCACAAAGGAUUAUAACUGGAGCUUCACUA